UCAACGCUGGCGGCGCGCCUAACACAUGCAAGUCGCACGAGAAAGCGGGAGCAAUCUCGCAAGUACAGUGGCGUACGGGUGAGUAACACGUGGAUUAUCUACCCUGGAGUGGGGAAUAACGCUGGGAAACCGGCGCUAAUACCGCAUAUUCCCGAGAGGGGAAAGCAGCAAUGCGCUCGAGGAGGAGUCCGCGGCCGAUUAGCUAGUUGGCAGGGUAAAAGCCUACCAAGGCUAUGAUCGGUAGCCGGCCUGAGAGGGCACACGGCCACACUGGGACUGAGACACGGCCCAGACUCCUACGGGAGGCAGCAGUGGGGAAUUGUUCGCAAUGGGCGCAAGCCUGACGACGCAACGCCGCGUGGAGGAUGAAGGUCUUCGGAUUGUAAACUCCUGUUGCUCGGGACGAAAAGCUUCGACCUAACACGUCGAAGUCUAACGGUACCGGGUGAGGAAGCCCCGGCUAACUCUGUGCCAGCAGCCGCGGUAAUACAGAGGGGGCAAGCGUUGUUCGGAAUUACUGGGCGUAAAGGGCGCGUAGGUGGUUUGAUAAGGGUGUGGUGAAAGUCCGGGGCUCAACCCCGGAUCUGCCGUGCCGACUGUCAAACUCGAGGACUGUAGAGGCAGACGGAAUUCCGGGUGUAGCGGUGGAAUGCGUAGAGAUCCGGAGGAAGACCGGUGGCGAAGGCGGUCUGCUGGGCAGUUUCUGACACUGAGGCGCGACAGCGUGGGGA
rnacentral:rRNA from 1 species